rnacentral:rRNA from 1 species
GACGAACGCUGGCGGCGUGCUUAACACAUGCAAGUCGAACGGUAAGGCCCUUCGUGGUACCCGAGUGGCGAACGGGUGAGUAACACGUGGGUAAUCUGCCCUGCACAUCGGGAUAAGCCUGGGAAACUGGGUCUAAUACCGAAUAGGACCACAGGACACAUGUCCUGUGGUGGAAAGCUUUUGCGGUGUGGGAUGGGCCCGCGGCCUAUCAGCUUGUUGGUGGGGUGAUGGCCUACCAAGGCGACGACGGGUAGCCGGCCUGAGAGGGUGUCCGGCCACACUGGGACUGAGAUACGGCCCAGACUCCUACGGGAGGCAGCAGUGGGGAAUAUUGCACAAUGGGCGAAAGCCUGAUGCAGCGACGCCGCGUGGGGGAUGACGGCCUUCGGGUUGUAAACCUCUUUCACCAUCGACGAAGGUCCGGGUUUUCUCGGGCUGACGGUAGGUGGAGAAGAAGCACCGGCCAACUACGUG